rnacentral:rRNA from 1 species
GACGAACGCUGGCGGCGUGCUUAACACAUGCAAGUCGAGCGGAAAGGCUCCUUCGGGGGUACUCGAGCGGCGAACGGGUGAGUAACACGUGAGUAAUCUGCCCUGGACUCUGGGAUAGCCACCGGAAACGGUGAUUAAUACCGGAUAUGACCACUUUAGGCAUCUGAGGUGGUGGAAAGUUUUUCGGUCCAGGAUGUGCUCGCGGCCUAUCAGCUUGUUGGUGGGGUAAUGGCUCACCAAGGCUUUGACGGGUAGCCGGCCUGAGAGGGUGACCGGUCACACUGGGACUGAGACACGGCCCAGACUCCUACGGGAGGCAGCAGUGGGGAAUAUUGGACAAUGGGCGGAAGCCUGAUCCAGCAACGCCGCGUGAGGGAUGACGGCCUUCGGGUUGUAAACCUCUUUCAGUACCGACGAAGCGAAAGUGACGGUAGGUACAGAAGAAGGACCGGCCAACUACGUGCCAGCCGCCGCAGUAACAC